GCGCAGUGGAUAGAGCCCGGGGCCUGGAACCAGCACGCCUGACACUGACUAUGGGGAGACCUGGGGCUAUAAGUUCAGUGAAGAAGAGAACUCUACCCCAAAGUGAGCCUGAGCCCUACAGAAGAGCGACUCCCAUGGAACCUGGAGUGUUAAGAGAGAUACCUGGAUGGCUGAGGGCUUCCUGAAUCGCUCAUGGUCACUGGCGAUGUGUAAUGGGAAGGACUGGAUCUGGAAAUCGAGUGGAGAAGACAGGAGGACUUAUCUGAGCUGAAACUAAUCACAGAACAAUAGCUUGCCACCUGACCUCAGGGAUAAUGAUACUUGCACCACCAGUUCGGUUAUCA